rnacentral:rRNA from 1 species
UACGUAGGGUGCAAGCGUUAUCCGGAAUUAUUGGGCGUAAAGAGCUCGUAGGCGGUUUGUCGCGUCUGCUGUGAAAACUGGGGGCUCAACCCCCAGCCUGCAGUGGGUACGGGCAGACUAGAGUGCGGUAGGGGAGAUUGGAAUUCCUGGUGUAGCGGUGGAAUGCGCAGAUAUCAGGAGGAACACCAAUAGCGAAGGCAGCUCGCUGGGACGUUACUGACACUAAGGCGCGAAAGCGUGGGGAGCGAACAGG